GACGAACGCUGGCGGCGUGCUUAACACAUGCAAGUCGAACGAAGUGGCGAACGGGUGAGUAACGCGUAAUCAACCUGCCCUUCAGAGGGGGAUAACAGUUGGACACGACUGCUCAUACCGCAUACUGAAGGAGGGGAUUGCGUCUGAUUAGCUAGUUGGAGGGGUAACGGCCCACCAAGGCGAUGAUCAGUAGCCGGUCUGGGAGGAUGAACUGCCACAUCGGGACGGAGACAAGGCCCAGAAUCCUAAGGGAGGCAGCAGUUGGGAAUCUUCCGCAAUGGACGAAAGUCUGACGGAGCAACGCCGCGUGAGUGAUGACGGCCUUCGGGUUGUAAAGCUCUGUUAAUCGGGACGCGGUACCGGAAUAGAAAGCCACGGCUAACUACGUGCCAGCCGCCGCGGUAAUUC
rnacentral:rRNA from 1 species